GGGUCCAUAGCUCAGUUGGUAGAGCGUUGCAUUCACAUUGCAAAGGCCUCUGGUUCGAUCCCAGGUGGACCCACCA
rnacentral:tRNA from 1 species